AGCGUAGGUGGCCUAACAUGUCAACUGUGAAAACCCGGAGCUCAACUCCGGACUUGCAGUUGAAACUGGUAGGCUUGAGGACGGUAGAGGAAAACGGAACUGCCAGUGUAGGGGUAAAAUCCUUAGAUAUUGGCAGGAACGCCGGUGACGAAGGUGGUUUUCUGGGCCGGUUCUGACACUGAUGCUCGAAAGCCAGGGGAGCGAACG
rnacentral:rRNA from 1 species